GUCGAUUUCUGCCCUUCUCAUCUAUGGCCAAUGCCUCACCAGGUGAUUGAAGCAGAGAAACUUAGGUGGUGAAAGGAGAAGAUGGGGCCUGUCCUGAGAGUUUCUGUUCCUGAGAUGCUAGAGGCAGAGGGUCCCUAAACUUUCCUGAGUCGGCAGACAUCCCCUCUGGAGAAGAGGUUGGCCCCAGAGUCGAACAUCCUCUGAUCUACCUGAUCCUGCUGCCCUUCCAUUCCACUUCCCCACAUCUGUUCUUU
rnacentral:lncRNA from 10 species